GCCAUCAUCUACAAAUACUGUUCUUUUCUUGGAGGUGGUGGAAUGUUAACAGUGGCAUAAUUUCUCACACUCUGUGUGCUUCGAAAGGGCCUUUUAGUCAUUAUUUACUUACAAGAAUGUCAUGGGCUGUGCUGGGUCUGGCAGAGAGCUGAGGCCCUUGCCAGCCAGGGCUGCAGACUGCAGAGCCCCUACUUCCUCUGGCCUUGUCUUCAGCACCAGCUGUCCCUGCUCCUCUAGGCAAGGGUUGGAGGACCUGGAGUUCAGGGUACCUGCAUCUCAGUGAGGCAUAGACCUUAAGAGGUGCUCAGAGGCCAAGGAAUGAAUCACCCAUUAGCCUGAGGGCACACUGCAGUGCAUUUUGACUCUGGUAUCCAGGAGCACUUAUUCUACUUUGGGGAAGUACGUCAGGGCUAUAUAGAUGGCUUUAAAAAUGAGUCAACUGUAACAAUGCUAUUGAUAUAAAAUCACAAUUCCAGUGGCAAAAUUUCCUUCUAAUUUGUUUUGCUAUCACCCAUGCUUGCUGGCCUGUUGCUGAUGUGAAUGCUAUUUUCACAAAAGCUAAGUCUUUGUUAGAGUCUCCUCCUUGGGUUUUCCCUCCUUUUUGCAGUCCCUCAGACUCGCCUCCUGCAGGAAGCCUGAUAAUAGCUGUGCCUGAAUUUCAAUUCGCUAAUUUCUUCAGCCUGAAAGCUGUCAUCUAGGAUUACCUUGAAGAGAUUCAUUUUGCUGUCUGUAGCUCACUGCUAUGAAUCAUAUGUAAUCAACAGUUACAUCCCUGUGCUCUACAGUCAAAUUCUUCUCUAGCCCCAUCAAAGCACAGCCAGGGUAAACUGUAGAUACAUAAAACAUUCAGAUGUGGAAAGCCUUAUUGUCCCCUCAGAAUUCCAUCAUGCAUUGAGGGAGAUACAAUGGAGCUAUAUCCCCCAAAUCCCUUGAUGUCUUCUUAAAUGACAGAACUAAAGAUGUAGAAGGGAAAUAUGGCUGAUGGAGAAUCUUCCAAAAUAGUAAAAUGCAUGAAUCAUACAGUCUUAAAUAUUAUAGCCUAUCCAGGAAAAAUAUGUUAUAUGGAUG
rnacentral:lncRNA from 1 species